UAUGGCCACAUCAUGUUGAAACACUGAUUCCUGUAUGUUCACCAAAGUUAAGCAAUGUUGAGCCUGGUCAGUACCUAGAUAAGUAACUACUUGGGAAUACCAAGUGCUGUAA